CGUACACUCCUACGGGAGGCAGCAGUAGGGAAUCUUCGGCAAUGGGGGCAACCCUGACCGAGCAACGCCGCGUGAGUGAAGAAGGUUUUCGGAUCGUAAAGCUCUGUUGUAAGUCAAGAACGAGUGUGAGAGUGGAAAGUUCACACUGUGACGGUAGCUUACCAGAAAGGGACGGCUAACUACGUGCCAGCAGCCGCGGUAAUACGUAGGUCCCGAGCGUUGUCCGGAUUUAUUGGGCGUAAAGCGAGCGCAGGCGGUUUGAUAAGUCUGAAGUUAAAGGCUGUGGCUCAACCAUAGUUCGCUUUGGAAACUGUCAAACUUGAGUGCAGAAGGGGAGAGUGGAAUUCCAUGUGUAGCGGUGAAAUGCGUAGAUAUAUGGAGGAACACCGGUGGCGAAAGCGGCUCUCUGGUCUGUAACUGACGCUGAGGCUCGAAAGCGUGGGGAGCGAACAGGAUUAGAAACCCGGGUAGUCC
rnacentral:rRNA from 1 species